GUAGAGCCCAUUCGUCUGGGCGCACGCGCACACUGACACGCCGCCCCGGGAAUCGGUCGGCAGGCGGCGGAGACAACAGAACUCAGGUCGGAGCGAGCGGCUUCGCCGGCGGCGGCGGCGGCGACCACAGGAUGGGGCUGGGAGGCCGGGGCGUCGUGGGAGAGAGGUGGUCGCAGCGCAUCCUGUGGAUCUGCGCCCUGGGCAGCGCCGUGAGCCUCUACUUCGUCGCGGUGGAGAGGCAGGCGCAGAACCGCGCGCGGGCGGUGGCAGAGGGCCUCAAGGCCCUCGACGGCGGUGGCGGCGGCGCUGGGGUGGACGUGUGAGGCGCUGCUUGGAGGCAGGCGUACCGUGGAGAGUUCCUCUCUUGGUAGGAUCAUGAGACGGGUCACUUUUGCUUUUCUGCUUCAUGUUCACUAAACUACAGUAGCUUCCGAAUAAUGUACUGUGCACAAUCUUUGUAGAAAGAAAAAAGUUGGUUAAUGUCAGUGUUUUCAUAAUUUACACAAUUUAUCUGAGCCACUGUUGCCGUGCAGAAAUGUUGAAUGAUGCGAGUGUUUUCCUAUUUCACACCAGUUAUUCCUGUAAGGGUUCUUAAGGUGUAUUUCUAUGGGACUAUGACUGUUGAAGCGAAUGGGGUAUAUGUAAUCAAGGCAGAAAGCUCUCGUUUAGACAA